rnacentral:lncRNA from 1 species
GUUUAAGAUUUGGAUUAGGAUUUGAUUUAGGAUUUAGAAUUUGAUUAUUAUUUGGUUUAGGAUUUAGGAUUUGGAUUAGGGUUUGAUUUUGGGUUUAAAAUUUAGUUAGGUUUUGAUUUAAGAUUUGGAUUAGGAUUUGAUUUUGGGUUUAAAGUUUAGUUAGGAUUUGAUUUAGGAUUUAGGAUUUGAUUAAGGUUUAAUUUAGGAUUUAAGAUUUGUAUUAGAGUUUGGUUAGGAUUUGGUUUAGGAUUUGAUUGAGAUUUGGUUUAAGGUUUGUUUAGGGUUGGAUUUAGGGUUUGGUUUAGGAUUUGGUUAGGAUUUUAUUUAGGAUUUGGAUUAGGAUUUGGUUUAGGGUUUGAUUAGGAUUUGGUUUAGGAUUUGGUUGGAGUUUGAUUUAUGGUUUGUUUAGGGUUUGAUUUAGGAUUUAGGAUUUAGGAUUUAGGAUUUGUUUAGGAUUUAAGAUUUAAUUAAUUUUGGCCUAAAGUUUGAAUGAAGUCCAAUAGGAUUUUAACUAGGAUUAAAUUAAGAUUGAUUUGAGAUAUAUUUGAGAGAUAUUUGUCAUUAUUCUAAUAUUUCUUUAAGAUUUCUUAUUGUUUCUUUGAAAUUUCUUUGAAGUUUCUUUAAAUUUGAUUAAGCUUAUUUAGCAUUAUUGUGGUCCAAUUAG